rnacentral:lncRNA from 1 species
AUGUUUCCAGUUGCUAAGAAGAAAUUUUUUCAGGCAUCAUCUUUUCAAACGGAGCUUAAAAUGGGUGGAUUUCAAGAUUGUCUUUUGCUCACAAAUCAUGUCUCUAAAGGUCUUCAGCAGUUCAGACCAACCACACUUUCCAUGCCCAGCAGUCACAAGUGGCCGGUGCGGUCUACAUCCACAAAGUCUCAAGCAGAAGGUAUGUUUCAUUACAAAAUUCUGCUAUAUUUUUUAAUCUAAAGAAGAAAAAAUUUAACCAGGUUCUAUGGCAAAUAAUUAAUAAUUGAACAUGACUUAAAAUGAAAUUAAGAAGAUAAUUAUUACAAAAUAACAGUCUGUCAAUGAUUUCAUAUUUUUCAUCUGAUGUAAUGCCAUUCUUUUAAUGAGAUCAUCUGUUUAAGGCAUUUACACAGUACCUGGCCUGAUUCUGGGUAAGUAUUGAGUAUUGUUAUUUAUACCAAGGAAGACAUAUCAGUUUAGCAAUAUCCAUUAUAUGACUAGGAAGAAAGAAAGUACAAGAAUACUCAUCAGUUACUCUUUAGACUCUCUGUGGUAAACACUGGCAAAAUAAUUACAUCAGAAAAUAUUUGUAGGAUGAAGGUGAGAAGUAAAUUGAGCACUUCCUAAGUAUUUAAAACCUUUCAAGUUUCUGAGCCUUAUUACAUUCCUCAAUUCUGAGUAUCUCCAGUACCAGUCUAUAGCUUUACUGUUUGAUCAAAACUAAUCAGUGUUCCAACCAGGAAUUUUCAGGAGUUCACUAUUAUCCAUACCACCUUCAUUUUUGUUCAGCUUAGCGGGGAAAGUAAUGUGCUGAUACUGUUUUACUUCCAUAUUCUCUUUUAAGAAAUCCCUUCCAUUAUCCCAUCCAUGUUUCUCCCCACUUAAGCAGGAAUGUGGCAAAUCUGACCGUUCUUAGCCUAGUUAAAGCAGAGUAAGCAUUCGCUUCAAGCAUGAAUUAAUGGUAACCUUUGUAAGGCUGUAUUUAACCUCUGCAAAAUCCUGCUAGUUUCUGAAAUAUUCCUUGUCCUGAAAUCAAUAAAUCACUGAAAUCCCCACUGGGAGGGAAACUU